CUCCUAAAUGUCCUAGGCUGCACGCGCACUACACUGACGCAUUCAACGAGUCUGAUUACCUUUUGGUAACCUAUCUUGAAGAGGAUGGGAAAUCUUUUGAACUUGCGUCGUGAUGAGGAUCGAUGAUUGCAAUUAUUCUCCUUGAAUGAGGAAUGCCUAGUAGGCGCAAGUCAUCAGCUUGCACUGAUUACGUCCCUGCCAUUUGUACACACCGCCCGUCGUUGCUACCGAUUGGCUGUGGGAUAGAGCUUGGAGGAGGAUCCUUGGGGGCAACUCCUUGUGCUGCAAAUCCAAGCAAUAUUUCUCAGCUAGAGGAAGCAAAAGUCGUAACA
rnacentral:rRNA from 1 species